GAUGAGCGCUGGCUACAGGCUUAACACAUGCAAGUCGAGGGGAAACGACGGGGAAGCUUGCUUCCCCGGGCGUCGACCGGCGCACGGGUGAGUAACGCGUAUCCAACCUGCCUCUGACUGAGGGAUAACCCGUCGAAAGUCGGCCUAAUACCUCAUGGCAUCGUCUGCGGGCAUCCAACGACGAUUAAAUAUUUCAUCGGUCAGAGAUGGGGAUGCGUCUGAUUAGCUUGUUGGCGGGGUAACGGCCCACCAAGGCGACGAUCAGUAGGGGUUCUGAGAGGAAGGUCCCCCACAUUGGAACUGAGACACGGUCCAAACUCCUACGGGAGGCAGCAGUGAGGAAUAGUGAUCAAUGGGGGAGAGCCUGAACCAGCCAAGUAGCGUGCAGGAUGACGGCCCUAUGGGUUGUAAACUGCUUUUAUGCGGGGAUAAAGUGAGGGACGUGUCCUUCAUUGCAGGUACCGCAUGAAUAAGGACCGGCUAAUUCCGUG
rnacentral:rRNA from 1 species